UGCAAACACUAAUACUCUCAUUUUGUCGAAAGCUUGAAGAAUUGCCGAGAGACAUUAAAAAAUUAGUCAAUCUCAGGCAUCUUGAUAUAGAAGGAUGUAAUAAGUUGGCUUAUAUGCCAUGUGGGUUGGGGCAAUUGACUAAUCUUCAGACUUUAUCAAAAUUUGUGGUCUACAAAGAUCCUCUUUUUAGGCAUAGCAGUGGGUUAAAAGAACUAAACGGACUAAAUAACCUGAGAGGACACUUAGAAAUUAAAAAUCUGAGACACGGGAAAGAUGCUACGUCAGAAUGUAAGGCUGCAAAUUUAAAGGAGAAACAACAUCUUGAUGCUUUGGAUUUACGGUGGAGUAUCGAAUUAGAAGAUGUCAUAUCUUCGGACGAUAUUUUUGAUGAUGAAGUGUUAUUGGAAGUCCUCCAACCGCACCUAAAUCUGAAACAACUUUUUUUAGAAGGCAAUUACGGUGCAAGGCUUCCGAUUUGGCUUUCGUCACUCACAAAUCUUGUUAGAUUUGAGUUAGAUGGGUGUACGAAAUGCCAAUAUCUGCCUCCUUUGAAUCAACUGCCUUCUCUCAAAGUUCUUCAUCUUUACCAAAUGGAUGCUCUGGAGUACAUAUCAUCAGGCAGUGGUGAUAGCAAUGAGUUUUCUUUUUUUUUCCCAUCUCUCAAGGAAAUUAUACUCUUUCGUUGCCCUAAUCUCAAGGGGUGGUGGAGGAGGAGGGAUUCUUCUGUGCAGGUCAAUAGUGAUAGUCAUAAUUUUGUUGAAAUAACGGAGCAUCCUUUCCUCGUCUUUCAAAAUUAGGGAUUUUUCAUUGCCCUUUGUUGACCUCCAUGCCAAUGUUUCCACAUCUUGAAGAAUAUUUUUUACUUGAAAAUUCUAGCUCAAAGCCACUGCAACAGACAAUGAUGAUGAAUAUGGCAACACCGCAAAGUCCAACGUCAACAGCAACAGCCUCCUCUUCAUCCACUCCUCUCUCAAAAUUGAAGUCUAUGCUACUGAAUAGCAUUGAGGAUCUAGAAGCUCUGCCAGAGGAGUGGUUGCAGAACCUCACUUCUCUCGAAUAUUUAAACAUAAAGUACUGCAAUAGAUUAAAUUCUCUCUCCCCAGGUAUACAACAUCUCACUGCCCUUCAAAACCUGGUUCUUUUUAAUUGUCGUGAGCUUGAGCUUGUCAAUGAUGAGGAUGGGAUGCAUUGGCAAGGCCUUAAGAGCCUCCUAUCUUUGGAGUUUACAGAGGUUCCGAAAUUGGUGUCUCUCCCGUUGGGGCUUCAACAUGCAACCACUCUACAAAGGCUCAAGAUUUCAAAUUGUGAAAACUUGACGGCUAUACCAGAGUGGAUCCACAACUGCACAUCACUUCAAGUGCUUGAAAUUGAUGAAUGCUCCAGUUUGACAUCACUGCCCGAAGGAAUGCGUAGCCUAACGUAUUUGCAGACGCUGAAAAUUCAUAACUGUCCCAUCUUACUGCAAAGAUGUGAGAGAGAAGCGGGUGAGGAUUGGGCCAAGAUUGCUCACAUUCCAGAGUUAAAAUUAACGUAUCCAGAGUCAGAUGCGGAAGUAGCAGAACCAGCUAAAGAACAGAAGAAACAGAGGAUUUGGAGUAUAUUCAAAAAAUCUAGGGCGCUGAAUUCAUGAUUCUUCACAUAUCAGGAGAAACAAUUAGCCUCUAUUCUUGCUCUUCCCACCAAUUCACUGCUGUCAUAUCGAACAAAAGGCAGUAAAUCAAGUCACGGAUCAUCAAGAUCUUUGCCCAGCCCUACACCAUGGUGUGCGAGUUGUACGGUGGAGGACGAUUGGGCGUUGUUUGGUGGGACGAAGCCCAGAUUGGUCUCUACACGGGAUUGGGAAAAAGUAGCAGAAGCAUGUUAAAGCAUACCACAACAAAAGCCGCAACAUGAAGCCAAACAUUGUUCCUAAUUGCAUUUGAUAAGAGAGCCACAUGAUCUCCAUUGAAGUGGAUAGUAACAUCAACUAGACUUGCAAGCUUCUGAAUCUCAGGUUUUGUUGAUUUGGGAUUGUCAUGCUUUUGGGGGUUUUGGUUUCAAUCUCAGGUUUUGGUUGAUCUGGAGAGUGAGCUAGUUUUCGUGGGUCUUCCUUGGGUCUGUGAUGGGAUUGGAGGGAAAGAUGCACUCUCUUGACUUGGAGGGAGUUAAGUUUCGGCAAGAGCUUUAUGGGGUCUUCUUUGAGCUAGUGGUUCAAUUUAGGCUUUGGGUGGAAUUGAAUAGUGGUUCAGAGAAAGUGUGAGAGUGUGGUAACAUGUCUGUUGUCACUCCAUGAGUCAACCCACUUGAGUCAACCCCUUGUCACGGCUAUACCAGAGUGGAUCCACAACUGCACAUCACUUCAAGAGCUUGUAAUUAAUGGAUGCGCCAAUUUGACAUCACUGCCCAAAGGAAUCCGUAGCUUAACGUCUUUGCAGAGGCUGAAAAUUGAGAAGUGUCCCAUCUUAUUGCAAAGAUGCGAGAGAGAAGUAGGUGAGGAUUGGGCCAAGAUUGCUCACAUUCCAAACUUAGAAUUAAACUAUCCAGAUUCAGAUGCAGAAGUAGAAGAACCAGCUAAAGAAAAAGAGGAUUUCGAGCAUAUUCAAAAAAUCUAGGGCGUUGAAUUCAUGAUUCCUCUAUUGCGUGAUCUCAAACAAAAGACAGUAAAGUCAAGUCACCCAUCAAGACCCUUGCCCACCCCUACACCAUGGUGUGCGAGCUGUUCUGGGCAGGAGGAUUGAGCGCUGAUUGGUGGGAUGAAGCCCAGAUUGGCAUCUACACGGGAAUUGGGCGAGUACUCUGAAUGAGUGACCAUGAAUCUUGCAAACUCCGAUCCUUUUGAGGAUGAUUGGGUUGCAGUUUUUUCUCCUGCAAACUUCAAGUAAUCUACAUCUCUAGCUUUAUCAGUUUGUACAGUCUAGCUAGCCAGUCGUUUUCCCAUUCACAAAUAAGAUUGAAUAGUAUUUGCAACUUAGCCAAUGCCUUUUCAAGAACAGAGUAAUUUUUUUUUACCAAAUAAUGGAGAUUAUAGUUGUGGGACUAAAAUUUCCUCUGUUAAUGCAUAAAUUGAAGGGGUAUUUUUGCUUUGAAUUGGCAGCUCAUCAACCUGUCUACCAGUGAAUAAAUUGUAGGAUUUAUCUUUGUUUUCCUAUGUCUCUGUCUCUCUCUCCCAUGGUCCUUUACUUUCAUCCAAAGUACCAAAUUCGAAAUCUUAAAAGCAAUUAUACUUGCAGUUGUGAUUUGAUAUCAAGGAGAUAGCAAGGAACUUCUACAAAAUGUGUCAUCUUUGCUGAAAUUGGGGGGGUCAUUUUUUUGGUAUUACUCCUGACUGAUGUUUAAUAUAGUAUGAAAUAGAGGUUGUUGAAUACUUGUUAUUUGGGAGUUAUUUGUUAAUUACAUUGGGAUUUACUUUGUAUACGUGUUUGGAUGUAUUUAUUGAAACUAAUUCAAAUAUUUGAUUUAGCUAGUGCUUUCAGCUGUUUAUUUGCAAUUUGAUAAUUUACUUAAUUGUUUGUGUAUUUUGGUAGCUUUUCUUGGUACUUAAACUAAGAUAAUGGGGUCUACAUCCAUGCACUACUCUCUCUUUCUUUCACUCUCUUUCAGUUGAUUUGGUAGCCUAGAAAGAUUAUUAACUUUGAUCAGAUUCUAAAUUGUUGAGAUUACUGAGAUUCAUCCAUCCACAAUCAAAUAUAUAGGGAGAUACUCUUAUUUUCAUAUUGCAUCCUUCUUAUGUUAUAAAUUAUAAAUCUCUAAUUCUCAAGCAUUGACAAUCUCCAUUAAUGAUUUAUGUUCUAUUUGUGGUAGAUUGGAAGUAAAACUUCAUAUUCUUGUCUUAAAUUAUGGUCUUAUUUAAUAUUCUAAAUCCCGUUGCACAGGUAAAUCAUAGCGUAAAUUUUUACCCGCUAUUCAUGGGGAUCAAAAAUUGAUUUCUGCAUAUUAACAAUAGAAAUUGUUCUUGCAUUUUUGCUAUAUAUGUUUGCAGGUCAACGAUGACUUUUCUGCUAUGGCAAAUUCAUUACCCUGAAACGUUUAGUUGAUGGCUCCAAAAGAGUUUGGGUUCCUCAUUUUCUAAGUGCACAAGUAAAGCUGAAAAAAUAUAUUUAGCUACAACCUAUUAGUUCAAGAUAGGAAAUGUCUUAGUAAGACUUGUUAUAAGAUUAUUUAGAUGAUAAAGUAAUGCCUCUUUUAAUUAUGUAAAGAAUGUUUGGCUGGAUUUCGGUUUCUUACCGAUGAUCUUGUUUUCUUCUUACAGUCAUAUGAUGAUGAUAAGAAGGGGGUUAGGCAGGUAGUAUGGGCCCUCUGACUUCCAGCUAUGUGCUGUGCGGCUCCCGCGAAGCGAAUGAAGGGAAGCUCUUCGAGCUUUCUCCGCCAGCGGCUUAUGGCAUGGCAAUGUUGUUGUGAACUGAUCACACAUGUUGUGAAUCGCCUUCCCCUUAAAAAAAAAAAAAAAAAUUAACCCAAUUGUAAAAUAAAGUUACAUCUUGAGCAUUGCUGGCAACGGAACAAGUACCAAUGUUUAGAAUCAUGUUAUGAAUGCUUGAACUUUAUGAACCGGUGACUUGAAAUUUGUGGAAGUAAUACAUUAAAUAUGAAUAUAAUU